rnacentral:rRNA from 1 species
AGGACGAACGCUGGCGGCGUGCUUAACACAUGCAAGUCGAACGGAAAGGCCCUGCUUUUGUGGGGUGCUCGAGUGGCGAACGGGUGAGUAACACGUGAGUAACCUGCCCUUGACUUUGGGAUAACUUCAGGAAACUGGGCUAAUACCGGAUAGGAGCUCCUGCUGCAUGGUGGGGUUGGAAAGUUUCGGCGGUUGGGGAUGGACUCGCGGUCUUAUCAGUCUUGUUGGUGGGGUAGUGGCUUAACCGAAGGUCUUUGGACGGGUAGCCGGCUGAGAGGGUCGACGGCACGAGUGGACUGAGAUACGGCCCAGACUCUACGGGAGCAGCGAGGUGGGAAUCUGCACAAGU